AACGCACAUUGCACUCUCUGGUAUUCCGGAGAGUAUGCUUGUUUGAGUAUCAGUAAACACCUCAAAUCUCUUUUUUAUUAAAGAGAAUUGGACUUGAGCAAUCCCAACUCUUUGCAAAAAGGGGCGGGUUGCUUGAAAUGCAGGUGCAGCUGGACAUUCUUCUGAGCUAAAAGCAUAUUUAUUUAGUCCCGUCAAACGGAUUAUUACUUUUGCUCUAGCUAAUAUAAAGGUAGAAUGUGCUAUAUGCUGACUGAUGCAGGAUUACCAAGUUUUACUAGCUAAAACUUGUAAACUCGAUCUCAAAUCAAGUAAGACUACCCGCUGAACUUAA
rnacentral:misc_RNA from 1 species